GACGAACGCUGGCGGCGUGCUUAAUACAUGCAAGUCGAACGGAAAGGCGCUGCCUUUGUGGGGUGCUCGAGUGGCGAACGGGUGAGUAAAACGUGAGUAACCUGCCCUUGACUUUGGGAUAAAUUCAGGAAACUGGGGCUAAUACCGGAUAGGAGCUCCUGCUGCAUGGUGGGGGUGGGAAAGUUUGGGCGGUUGGGGAUGGACUCGCGGGUUAUCAGCUUGUUGGUGGGGUAGUGGCUUACAAAGGCUUUGACGGGUAGCCGGCCUGAGAGGGUGGCCGGCCACAUUGGGCCUGAGAGACGGCCCAGACGCCAACGGGAGGCAGCAGUGGGGAAUAUUGCACAGUGGGCGGACGCCUGAUGCAGCAACGCCGCGUGCGGGAUGACGGCCUUCGGGUUGUAAACCGCUUUCGCCUGUGACGAAGCGUGCGUGACGGUAAUGGGUAAAGAAGCACCGGCUAACUACGUG
rnacentral:rRNA from 1 species